UUUACAUUCUUGAAUCAUUUUUAUAGUUGAAAUAAAUGAUUUCCAUAAUCAUAGAAUACAAACUAUCGAAAGUGGCACCCGUAUCACGAAUCUGGUGUUGUUUUAUUCGUUUGGCUAUUAAAAUAGUGUGGAUUAAUGAUACUAUUGCUUGUUCCUUUAGAUUCUGGACUUUCCUCUUCGUUGGUUUCAUAACUUUUUAUUUCUUUUCAAUAAACUUCUUUUCUAUCCCCUCUCGUCAUAUUUACCUACUAUCUACUCUCGUCUCUCAGGAACUUUUUUUUUUUUUUGAUAAUCAUGAUUAAGUUUAAUUUAAAAAUAUAACCUCUCUCAGGAACUUUUUAUAACAUAAGGGAAAAUUUGUACCGUUGAGAAACUCAACCAGUUUGUUAAAGUUAUAUAUAUUAAUAUUUAACAAUUAAACUAUUAAACCAUUUUUACCAAAAUAUUAACCGUCGACAUGUGGCGUUAAAAUUUCUCAUGGAUUUGCAAAUGUUUU
rnacentral:lncRNA from 1 species